GGAUAGUGACCAUAUGAAGCCUUUUAUUAUCACAUAGUUGUUUGGCUCCUUUUUAAAUCACAAUUAUAACAGAGAUCACCCAAAUGGCCCUGAUCAAAAGUUUACAUACCCUUAAAUGUUUGCUCUUGUUACAGACACACAAGGUGACACACACAGAUUAAAAUGGCAAUUAAAGGUUAAUUUCCCACACCUGUGGCUUGCAAUUAGUGCCUGUGUGUAAAUAGUCAAUGAAUUUGUUAGCUCUCAUGUGGAUGCACUGAGCAGGCUAGAUACUGAGCCAUGGGGAGCAGAAAAGAACUGUCAAAAGACCCGCAUAACUAGGU